CUCGUAGGCGGCUUCUUAAGUCGGGGGUGAAAACCUGUGGCUCAACCACAGGCCUGCCCCCGAAACUGAAAAGCUUGAGUCCGUGAGGGGAGAGGGGAAUUCCUGGUGUAUCGGUGAAAUGAGUUGAUAUCAGGAGGAACACCCGUGGCGAAGGCGCCUCUCUGGCACGGUACUGACGCUGAGGAGCGAAAGCGUGGGGAGCAAACA
rnacentral:rRNA from 1 species